GCCACCGACUUACACAUGCUUAUAUAUACACCCUUCAAUCGCACAUUCAACAAAUCAUUCCGUUCAUCAUCUUCAACAGGUGGUUGGUUACCUUCUGGUAUCUUCUAUAUUCUAUUCUCAUCCUUUUGAUUUUAAAGCUUCAUCGAUAGUUUUGAUUUCAAAUAUGUUGCGCCAGAUCAGAUCUUCUUCCACGUUCUUUCUCAAUUAUCAUCUGCCUUCGUUGAUUCGGAUUCGAAAUCCGUUUGCAACAACGCCAUAGAAACGAUGCGUUAGAUUUUAAAUUCUGUUCGCCGGUCAUUCAUUGAUCAUUAUGGCUGUUAAUCUGGUUGUUGGACCAGAUCUGUAUAAUAUCCUUAUCGGUUAUCGGUUUUCAGGUGUCAAUCUUCUAGUUUCUUCUAUGCGAAUAUCGUUUUGCAAGCACCUGUUACGGUGGAUCCGGUUGCUUGUUAUGGUUCACAGGUGCGAAAAGUUAUGAUUUACUUAUUGAGCUCAUUAUAACCGGCUUUAGUAUUAGGUGAUAAGUUAAAUUUUGACUCCGUGGCUAUAUUUUAUGGCAGAUAGAUAGGGUUUUUUUCCGGUAGAAGGUGCGAGAAAUUAGGUUUAGGCCUCAUCUGAGCUGUUCAUGACGAUAAUUCCAGGUGUUGUUGUAGUAUAUUCUACCUUGCUCAUCUGUUGUGCGUUAAGUUGAUCGCUCUCUGUUAGACAAUUUUGAAUGAUUUCUCCUUUUGCCUGUUGGAUUGGUUCUUGUGUAAGUAGUAGAUUUUGUAUCACGCUUCUCUUUUCAUGAGUUUGUCCUUUUUAACACCCUUACUUUCGUGCUUGAGGUUACUGUUGCAACAAGUACAUGCUCUGUGCAAUUUAUAGAUUAGGCAAUGCAAGAUUGGAUCAUGUUUUCUGGCUAGUUGGGAACUCUUGGAAAUUCAUGUCUACUUCAAAAGAUAUUUGGCUAUCGGUUUGUGUUACGAUCUAUCUGUGCUGUGCUCUGUUAGCUUUAUGAUAACUGCCUUGCAGCUUUACUGUGUUAUUGUCUGGCUGUCGGUUUGUGUUAUGUCACUAUGGUUACAGGCCGCUGCUAGGUUUGUGGCUUUGCCUGCAGUUGGAUGAUUAGCACAGCAUUCUCUGACAAGUGAUCUUUCUUCUUAGAUUUUGAAGCUUUUUACUUCGGGUUCUUGAUUCAGUUUCAUUUAUAACCUAAUUUACACACUGAUAUGAUCGUGGGCAGUCAUAAGUUCUAUCCGCUGUUGUAUUAUUAUCGUAUCUUUUAACGGUAUGUAUGGAUCACUGAGUCGGUGUUAUUAUUUUAGUCUGUUUUGGUGGUAGGUUUUGAAGUAUGAUCAAUGAUUCCAUCUGGUACUAUCUGAUCUGGUUUGAUCUUCUUACCUUAGCUCCUGUUAUAUUACUUGAUGUCUUAUUACUUGACUUCAGAUGCCAUUUGGACAUGUUUGGUUUUUGUUAUGGGUGGAUGGUCAUUUGAGGUUAGUUUGGUGGGUGAAGUUUGGGCCAGGGGCCUUUGGGUUGACUAUAAUGAUGUUUAUUAUUAGCUUAGAUUUUAUUGACUUUUUAAGAGAUAGCAGUCUUGUCAUCUUCUUGAUAAAUGCUAGAAUGCUCAAGGGGAUAGCUGAUGCUGUAUAGGGUUAUCCUGAUUCACCUGGUCACUGGUGACGAUUUUAAGCAACUGUUUUUGUUCAUAUUGUUUACCUUUACGUGGUAAUACAAUGGUUGUUCAUGAUUCAGUUUACUCUUAGUGGUGUUGGAGGCAUUAUAGACCUGAUGGAGAGCACAAGCUACCUAUUUUCUUGUCUAUGCAGGUUCUUUUUUAUUAUGAAUUUAUUAUGGGGUCAACGCCACUGUAUAUAUUUGUGUUUCUUCUGCUAUUAUAGUGCCUUUUUAACAUCCAAACACUCAAUGGCUUUCAUCGCUCGUCACUGCCAGCUUCUGUAAUAUCUUUUAAGAUUUGCUUAAAACAUAUUUUUUUAUUAGGAGUUUUUUCCCAAACUAGUGUAGAUACAAAAAGUAUUUACCUAUUUGGGUACUUUGAAAAAUAUUUACAUAUUUGGGUACUUUUCUAUAUCUCUUUAGUUUUUACCUAAUUUAUACAUUUCUUUUUAUUUUUCUACCCAAAGUAAAAUUAGAUUACUCACAGAAUUAGAAUCAGCAAAAAUAUGAGUAAUUAUUUUUUGUAAAAAAAUAAAAAAAUCUGCAAAUAUUCAAAAAAAAAAAAAUCUGCAAAAAUUCAAAAAAAAAUCUGUGAAAAAUCCACAAAAAAUCUGCAAAAUAUAUUAAAAAAUUCUACAAUAAUUCUGCAAAGUUAAAAAAAAUCUGCAAAAAAUAUUAUAAAAAAAAACCAUAUAAUCUAUAGGGUAAUAGUUGGUGGAUUUGAUGGUUCACAUUGUGUAGUUCAUUUGAGGUUAAUAUCUAUAAAAAAAAACAAACUACUUAUACGUACAGAAUAUUGGAGAAAUAAUCACUAUUAAUAAAAUUGAAAUAAUUAAAAUACUUGGGAUCUUUUCUCAAAACUCAAAUUUCAAGAAAUUCGAAAUUGAUAACUUCAUUUUACAAAUUGCUUGAGUUUAAAUAAACUUGUUUGAAAUAUCAAACUUUCCACCAGAUUACUAUUACUUAAUCGAAAUAACUUAGGGGAGUAAAUUUGUGAAUUUAUUGUUUUAUUGUUUUUAUGAGCUUAGUUUAAACGGGGCCUAGACAAUUUCAGGUUAUAAAAAGAAAAUAAAACGGAAAAAGAAAUCGAGUUUUUUCCCAAACUAGUGUAGAUUACAUGGUUUUUUUUAUAAUAUUUUUUGCAGAUUUUUUUAACUUUGCAGAAUUAUUGUAGAAUUUUUUAAUAUAUUUUUGCAGAUUUUUUUGUGGAUUUUUUGCAGGUUUUUUUGUAGAAUUUUUGCAGAUUUUUUUUGAAUAUUUGCAGAAUUAUUUAUUUUUUUACAAAAAAAAAUUACUCAUAUUUUUGCUGAUUCUAAUUCUGUGAGUAAUCUAAUUUUACUUUGGGUAGAAAAACAAAAAGAAAUGUAUAAAUUAGGUAAAAAAUUAAAGAGAUAUAGAAAAGUACCCAAACAGGUAAAUAUUUUUCAAAGUACCCAAAUAAGUAAAUAAUUUUUGUAUCUACACUAGUUUGGGACUUAGCAAGUGUGGAUAGGAGUGUAGGACUCAUUUCUUUUGUUGCUUGUAAAUCCAGAUAGAAUAUUGGACAACAAGGUUAUGUUCUACUGAUUUGUCUUCAGUCUUCUCUGAUUCUCUCUACUGGGUCUUGUUCUCAGUGUACCAUAUCUGCUACUUUGGUCCAUGGUUCUGUAAGUUCAGAUUUUCAUUGUGUGUAUUUCGGCAUGCAACAGCCAUGCGUUUUUUUGUUGAUAUGUGGUCAUCUUCUCUGUUUCCUUUUUAAAAAACUUGCUUAAGUGGGCUCUGGGCUGUGCUAGUUCUUUCGUCUCACAGAUAACUGUUGCACAUUGGUUUAAAUAUUAUUCACUUUGUAAACUAUGACCUUUUUGUUCCCCUUAAAACUGGGUGUCUUAGUGGGCUUAAUAAAAGAUGGUGCUAUAGGUUCUGGAUACAGAUUCUGCAGAAUAAACACGGAUGGCUGGACCCUUGUUUGUUUAGUAUCAUGCAGUGUUCUUCUAGAACUUCUUUUCUUUGCUUUCAGUUUCUAUGAUGAUCAGCAUUGUUUUUAGAUUCUUGAAGUAAGACCACCAUGUUCAGUUUGCAGGUUGAUUUGGUAAACACCGGUUCUGGUGUCUUGUUUACCAUCUGCUGGUUUUCCCUCCUUAGCAUUAUUUGUUUUUUUUCCUGGUUCAUCCUUGGUUAUUUUUUCUUUAUCUUGAUCUCUUGUGCAUAGAUCUUUGGGAGCCUCAUUUCUUUGUUGGACCAUUAGUUGCAUGAUUCUUUGCUGCUUUUCUAUCUUCUAUAAUUAUAGAUUUUUAUUCUCUCUUGCUGGGAUGACUAAAAGAUAUACUACCAGUACAUGUUUUUUUUUUUUUUUUUUUUUUUUUUUUUUUUUUUUGUAAUUGGAGGUGACUGGAUCGUCGUGCUUGCUCAUGGAUUGCCACCACACAUCUAUUAAUUCGUUCCCACUAUUCUCUUUUUCCUUCGAUUUUCUUUUUACUCUUGUGAAUUCGUGUGCAUGAUGGGAUUAUAUUUUUUGUGGCGCAGAAAGAACAAAGUUGAUUGGGCCUAGUUCAGUUUUCAUACGUUUUGCGCGUCGGUAAUUGUGGACGCCUUUUAUAUGAUUCUUUUAGCUUUUAUGUUGCAAUCAAUUAUUGCUUUCCUAUCUUUCCAAUAUCAUUAAUAACUUACACAAGGAGCGUCGAGUUAGUGUUGCAAUGUAUUUGUUUUGCAGAAAGCUAAAGCAACAUAUGAUUGGAUCUACAUUUUUCUAUUAGUACAAUAUCUUGUUCUAGAACCCUCUUUUUCUUUGUUUGUCGCUCCAUGAUGACGAACUUUCUUUCUAGGUACCUUAAAAGAUAAUGUAAAUUGUUUGUAGGUUCGUUGGGUGUUCGAUCAGGCAUCAUGAUGAGAUUGCGUUCUUUUCUUUGCAUUGCCUGUUCUCAUCCUUUUCCAUCAUCAUACAAGUAUUUAAAUCUUGCUUACUUGCUGAGAAGCAUCUAAAACUUGUGUGCAGUUGUGCUUUGUUUGGACCUUUUCUCUCUGGCUUGUUGCCAUAUUUGGUGUGAAUCUUCUUGACAUGGGGCUUGCUUAUGGAAAGUGAAAAAUAAGAGCAUCAAAUCAGUUUGUGUUAUUUUUUUUUUAUCAUAAUAGUUUUACGAAUUAUUUUCUUUUUUUCGUAUCAUUGGUUUUUUGUGGGAUGUAUAUUUUUGACAACCAGAGGUUGAAGAUGACUAGAUUGAUGUGCUUGUCCGAGUAUCAUCAGCUCCCCUCUUUAUCAAUUUCUUCUCAUCGUUUUGUUCUUUCUUUUAAUUUAAUACCCAAUUUCUGUUUAUGCUUGCAUGACAAGAUUAUGUUCUGUGUUGUAGGUUAGUGUGGUGCCGAACAUUAUUGUCCAAUCACCACCUAUAGGUUCUUCUGUAGUUUAUUUUGGGGCUUGCUUAUGGGAAGUGAAAAAUAAGAGCAUUAUAUAGUUCGUGCUUUUAAUUUUUUUUUUAAUUGUGGAGCUCUGCUAAUUAUUUUCUAUUUAAAUCAUCAUUGGUCUUUAUAUUUCAUCAACAUAUGUUAUUUUAUGGGAUGCCUAAAAGGGUAAUAUUAUUGACCACCAUAGGUUGAAGAUGAUUGGAUUGUGCUUGAGGAUCAUCAGCAGCCCUCUGUUUAUUCUGACUUACACAUGCUUUUAUAUACACCCUUCAAUCAUACAUUCAACAAAUCAAUCCGUUCAUCAUCUUCAACAGGUGGUUACCUUCUGGUAUCUUCUAUAUUCUAUUCUCAUCCUUUUGAUUUUAAAGCUUCAUCAAUAGUUUUGAUUUCAAAUAUGUUGCGCCAGAUCAGAUCUUCUUCCACGUUCUUUCUCAAUUAUCAUCUGCCUUCGUUGAUUUGGAUUCGAAAUCCGUUUGUAAAAACGCCAUAGAAACGAUGCGUUUGAUUUUAAAUUCUGUUCGCCGUGUCAUUCAUUGAUCAUUAUGGCUGUUAAUCUGGUUGUUGGACCAGAUCUGUAUAAUAUCCUUAUCGGUUAUCGGUUUUCAGGUGCAAUCUUCUAGUUUCUUGUAUGCGAAUAUUGUUUUGCAAGCACCUGUUACGGUCGAUCCGGUUGCUUGUUAUUGUUCUCAGGUGCGGAAAGUUAUGAUUUACUUAUUGAACUCAUGAUAACCGGCUUUAGUAUUAGAUGAUAAGUUAAAUUUUGACUCCGUGGCUAUAUUUUAUGGCAGAUAGAUAGGGUUUUUUCGGUAGAAGGUGCGAGAAAUUAGGUUUAGGCCUCAUCUGAGCUGUUCAUGACAUUAACCGGCUCAUCUGUUGUGCGUUAAGUUGAUCGCUCUCUGUUAGACAAUUUUGAAUGAUUUCUCCUUUUGCCUGUUGGAUUGGUUCUUGUGUAAGUAGUAGAUUUUGUAUCACGCUUCUCUUUUCAUGAGUUUGUCCUUUUUAACACCCUUACUUUCGUGCUUGAGGUUACUUUUGCAACAAGUACAUGCUCUGUGCAAUUUAUAGAUUAGGCUAUGCAAGAUUGGAUCAUGUUUUCUGGCUAGUUGGGAACUCUUGGAAAUUCAUGUCUACUUCAAAAGAUAUUUGCCUAUCGGUUUGUGUUACGAUCUAUCUGUGCCGUGCUCUGUUAGCUUUAUGAUAACUGCCUUGCAGCUUUACUGUGUUAUUGUCUGGCUGUCGGUUUGUGUUAUGUCACUAUGGUUACAGGCCGCUGCUAGGUUUGUGGUUUUGCUUGCAGUUGGAUGCUUGUACGAUUAGCACAGACUUCCCCAACGACUAAUCUUUCUUCUUGGAUUUUGAAGCUUUUUUUACUUCGGGUUCCUGUUUCGGUUUCAUUUGUAGCCCAAAUUACAUACUGAUCGACAUGAUCGUGAGCAGACACAAGUUCUAUCCGCUGUUGUAAUAUUAUGGUAUCUUUUAACGUUAUGUAUGAGUCAGUGUUAUGUUGUCUGUUUUGGUGGUAGGUGGUGGUAGGUUGUGGAGUAUGAUCUUUGAUUCCAUCUGGUACUAUCUGAUCUGGUUUGAUCUUCAUACCUUAUUAGCUCCUGUUUAUUACUUAAGUCUUAUAGCUUGACUUCAGAUGCCAUUUGGACAUGUUCGGAAUUUGUGUGGGUGGAUGGUCUUUUGAGGUUAGUUUGGUGGGUGUAGUUCGGGCCAGGGGCCUUUAAAUAUAAUGAUGUUUAUGAUUAGCUUAGAUUUUAUUCACGUUUUAUUCUGGUUUAAGAGAGAAGGAGAGCCAUCCUGGUUCCUUUUUGGUAGAUGCUAGAAUGCUAAAGGGGCGUGAUGAUUAUCGCUGAUGCUGUAUACGGUUUUCCUGACUCAUCUGGUUACUGGUGACAGUUUUAAGCUCACUUUUUUGUUUCUAUUUUUUUACCUUUAUGUGGCAAUACAAUUGUAGUUCGUGAUUCAGUGUACUCUUAGUGGUAUUGGAGGCAUUAUAGAUCUGAGGGAGUCAUGGAGAGCACAACCUACUUUUUUAUGAUUGUCUAUGCAGGCUGAUUCGGUAAACACUGGUUCUGGCGUUUUGUUAACCAUCUGCUGCCUGCUGGUUUUUCCCUCCUUUUUUUUCCAGUCCAUCAUGGUUGUAUUUUCUUUAUCUUGAUCUCUUGUGCAUAGAUCUAUGGGAGCCUCAUUCCUUUGUUGGACCAUUGAGUUGUAUAAUUCUUUGCUGCUUUUCUAUCUUCUAUAAUUAUAGGUUAUUUUUUUCUCUCUUGCUGAGAUGACUAAAAGAUAUACUACUAUUACUACUGCAUGUUUUUUUGUAAUUGGAGGUGACUGGAUCGACGUGCUUGCUCAUGGAUUAUCACCAUACGUCUAUUAAUUCGUUCCCACUAUUCUCUUUUUCCUCCGAUUUUCUUUUUACUCUUGUGAAUUCGUGUGCAUGAUGGGAUUAUACUUUUUGUGGUGCAGAUAGAGCAAAGUUGAUUCGGCCUAGUUCAGUUUUUGUAUGUUUUGUGCGUCGGUAAUUGUGGACUCUUUUAUGAUUCUUUUAUGUUUCAAUUAUUGCUUUCCUAUCUUUCCAAUAUCAUUAAUAACUUGCAAAAGGAUCGUCGAGUUAGUAUCACGAUGUAUUUGUUUUGCAGAAAGCUAAAGCAACAUAUGAUUGGAUCUACUUUGUUUUAUUAGUACAAUGUCUUGUUCUAGAACCCUCUUUGUUUAUCAUUCCAUGAUGAUGAACUUUCUUUCCAGGUUCCUUAAAGAUAAUGUUUGUUGGGUGUUUGUUCGAUCAGGCAUCAUGAUGAGAUUGCGUUCUUUUCUUUGCAUUACUUGUUCUCUUCCUUUUCCAUCAUCAUACAAGUAUUUAAAUCUUUGCUUACUUGCUGAGAAGCAUCUAAACUUGUGCGCAGUUGUGCUUUGUUUGGACCUUUUUCUCUUGCCAUUUUGGUGUGAAUCUUCUUGACAUGGGGCUUUCUAAUGGAAAGUGAAAAGUAAUGAGUGUAUCAAAUCAGUCUGUGUUAUUUUUCUAUCAUAAUAGUUCACGAAUUAUUUUCUUUCUGUAUCAUUGGUUUUUUUCUGGGAUGUAUAUUUUUGACAGCCAUAGGUUGAAGAUGACAAGAUUGCUGUGCUUGUCUGAGGAUCAUCAGCACCCCUCUUAUCAAUUCCUUCCCAUUGUUCUUUCUUUUAAUUUUAAUUCCCGAUUUCUGUUUAUGCUUGCAUGACGAGAUUAUGUUCUGUUUGUAGGUAGUGUGGUGCCGCAUGUUGUCCAAUCACCACCUGUAGGUUCUUCUGUAGUUUCUGUUGCCUAAAGGGUAACAUUAUUGACCACCAUAGGUUGAAGAUGAUUUGAUCAUUGUGCUUGCUUGAGGAUCAUCAGCAGUCCUCUGUUUCAUUCCUUCCCACUGUUCUCUUCUUUCUUAGAGUUUACGGUUUCUCUUGUGUUCAUGCUGAGAUUAUGUUUUGUAUGUAGGUUAGCAUGGCAUCGAUCAUCGCUGUCCAAUCACCACCUACUGGUUUUUCUGUCAUUCUUGAGAUUUUACUUAUGUUACCAUUAUUGUUUUUUUAUCUUCCCAUCAUUACGAGGAACUUGUAGGAAAUGUUACCUUGUAUGUGUUUUGCAGAAAGAGCAACGAAUGGUUAGAGCAAUGAAUGGUUAGACCUAUUAUUCUCUGUCCCAUAACGACCAACUUUCUUUCUAGGUUUCCCGAAACAAGAGAACUGAUAUUAUUCUUCGUCCCAUCAUCACAAGGAACUUGUGGAUAGUUGUGCUUGUGGAUCAUAACACCUAUCUAUGCUUUACUUCCCACUAUUCUCUAAUUUCUCUUUUUCUCGUGUGUACGGUGCAUGACAAGAUUAUGUUUUGUGUGUAGGUUAGUGAGGUGCUAAACAUUAUUGUCCAAUAACCAACUCCGGGUUCUUCUCUAAUUCCUAAUAAUAACUUUUUGGUUACCAGUAUUAUUUUUGUCAUGUCAUCAUGAGGAACUUGCAGAAGGAACUUUAUGGUACUGUGUAUAUGUUCUGUAGAACGAGAAUCAGGGAACGCCUUAUUUUGAUUAGUUUCAUCUCAUUAGUUACUGUCCUUUUAUCUGCCUUUGGAGGCGUUUAAUUCAUUUGUUAUGUUUCCGGGUCUAUAACUGCAGUUCUCUAUGGGCUUGUUAACAUUUAUUGUGCCUGGAUGAUCAUUUCAGGUUAGUUUAAUGGGUGAAGUUUGUGCCUGUGUCCUUUCAGAUGAUUAUAUGAUAUCUUUUUUCUUUUGGGUAAAACGAGUUUUUGGUGUUGACACAGGAAAAGGUCAUCUUGUAUUCUUUGUAGAAAUUAAUAGAAUGCUCAAGUUCUUUAUGAUUGUUGUGAUGCUGUGUGUGGGUUCUUCUAAUUCGUUUAGUGGCGUUUCAAUCACUACUUUAUGUUCUUUUCAUCUACUGUUAGGUGGCCAACGUGGAUUAAUGAUGCACUACUUUAUGUUAUUUCAAUCACUACUUUAUUCAUGAUUCAGUUAACCAAUGUGGUAGUUGGAGGCAUUGUAUAUUUGAUGUAUUACACAAUCUACUUUUGCUUAAUUUUUGUGGCUUUUUUUUUUGUUUUGGUAAUGGAUUUGUCCUUAAAGUAGUCACAUGCACCUUUGUUGAUUUGAGUUUUAAGUGUCCACUCUGCAAUUGGCCUGAUAGUCUGAUACAAGUGGGUAAUUAUCUUUACUUCUGGUGAGUUUAAAUGACCUUUCCUAUUUUCUUCUCAUUUGACAAUUAAACUCUCGUUGUGAAUUACAUGUGAUUUGUCAAUCGUUCUUGUAUUAUGAUCGGUUAAUCUCAUGAUUCAUAUUCUACCUUUUUCCUGAUUGUGGUGCUGUUUUUUCUGAUCUAAUUAUGAUUACAAAAUGUUUCUUGCCACCAUUGUAGUAAAAAUUUGUGUUUCUUAUGUUGCUUUGGUUCCAUUUAACUUUCAAUUAUGCAAUGGCUACAUCACUUGUCACUGCUAAUUUCUGCAUUAUUCACAUUUUAUCGUGCUUUAAUGAUCAUUUAAGGUUAGUUUAACUAAUGGGUGAAGUUUGUGCCUGUGUCCGUUCAAGCUGAUUAUCUAGGAUCUCUUUUUUUUUUUUUUGUAGAUACUACCGAGUUUUGUGUGAAGGGUCAUUUUGUUUUCUUUGUUGAUAGACAGAAUGCUCAAGUUCUUUAUGAUUGUCGUGAUGCUGUGUGGGGUUCUCCUAAUUCAUUUAGUGACAUGUUAACAACUACUAUAUGUUCUUUUCAGUUAACCUUUGUGGUAUUGGAGGCAUUAUACGUUUGAUGUAGUCCACAAUCACUUUUGCUUGGUAUUUGCGAGGUUUUUGUUUUGGUAAUGGAUUUGUCCUCUGUUGAUUGAGUUUUAAGUGUCCACUCAGCAAUUGUUUAGUGACCUUUCCUGUUUCAUAUCGUUUGAUGAUUAAAUUUUCUCGUUAUGAUUUACAUGUGGUUUGUCAUUUGCUGUUCUUGUAAUUUUUUUUUUUUUUUUUUUUUGCAAUGAUCUGGUAAUCUCAUGAUUCAUGUUUUACCUUUUUUCUAAUUUUGGUGGUUUUUGGACCUGUUCAUGUCUUGACUUGGUCUCAUAUGACCUUCCCUUCACCGAGUUUUGUUCCCCAGUUUACCAUACCUGUUACCUUGAUUCCAUGGUUCAGUAUGUUCAUAUUAUCAUUGUAUGUAUGGUAGUGUCUGUUAGAUAUGUUCAUAUUACUUCUUUUCUGCAGAUUGAUAAAAAACUUGCAUGAGUGGGCUGUUUUUGUUCUUCCGUCCCAGUAAAAAAUUUAUGUUGAUGUUUAAUCACUAUCUUAUCUCUGUCUUCAGAUUGUAUUUCUUUCUGUGCUUAAAAGCUGGGUGCCUGAAUAGGCUAACUGAUAGAUGGCGCCAUUGGUUCUACAUUUAGAUUUUUGCAGAAUGAAAAACAAAUGACUGGACCUUUGUUUUGAUUGAUAUCGUUCCAUGGGCCAUGGUUAGUUGGCUGCUAAACACUACAGUUCUGGCGUCUAGAUGACCAUCUGCUCUGGUCUUUUACCUCCUUUUUAGCAUUAUUUGUUUCUGGCCUUCGUGUCCUGAUUAAAAUUUCUUUAAUUUUGCUCUCUUGAUCGUAGGUUUACGAAAGCUUUUGCAUUUUGAUUGGACCAUUGAGUAUAGAAUUGCCCGAUACACACUCUUGCUCAUAGAUUCUUUAAAGCGUGUUCCUUGAUUGAACCAUUGGGUAUUUGAGUUGCCUACAUUUAAGAUUGAAGACAAUAUAUGUGAGACGAGUUCUAAUGAUUAAAUCAGUAUUUUUUUUAGUGUAUUUUGCUACUUUUUCUGUUGAUUCAAGAAUUAUUGGUUUUCUGUCUUCCUGUCUUCUGCAAUCUGCUAGCAGCUGGUCUACAGUCGUGUGCUUUGAUUGGAAAUAUUUCUUCGUGUGCUGAUACCAUCUGUGUUGGGGUUUGUUAGCACAUUCUUCUUUUAAAAAAAUACUUUGAUUGUUCAAAAUUACUGACUUGUGCAGAAGUGUUCGUUAUUUUUGGCAAAAUUGUUUUCAACAUCUUUUAUUUUUUCUGGUAGGUCGUAGCCUACGGCUAGGAAUUACAUACAAGAACGGGUCGACAAUCUAGGAAAAGAUAUUUCUAGCUUUUUUUGUGCUAUCUGUUGAUAACUCUUUUCACUAUUCUAUCCUCUUUGACUCUUAUUUUCUGGUGUGUAUGUGUAUGCUUGCGUGAUGAGACUUCCUUUUCGUGUAGGUUAUCGUGGCAUCCAAACAGUGUUGUCCAAUUACUACUAACAGGUUUUUGUAUAAUUCUUAUGAUUUUUAUCUUACCAUGUUGUUUUUCUGCCUUCCCAUCAUCGUGAGGAACUUGCAGAAAAGCACGGAGUUAAUGUUGUUACGAUGUACGUAUUUUGCAGCAAGAGCAACUGAUGAAUGGACCUAUGUGUUUCGAUUAGUAUCAUUUCGUGACCUAAAAUCGUUUUUCAUUCCAUAAUGACGAACUUUCUUUCUAGGAAUCUUAAACAAGAAUUUUGUUUGUAGGCUAGUUGGGACUGGGGUGACAAGGCAUCAUGGUUGACCAUCUGCGGGAGUUCUUUGAAUCUUUUCAGUUUUUUUGCGUUGUUUAUUCACUUCUUUAUAUCAACAUGCAAGCCAGAAAGUCUUGCUUAUUUUUGCUGAUGCCUUAUAGGAUUAUAUUAUUGACCUGCCACAGCUCUGCAUGGUCGAAGAUGACUGGAUUGCUGUGUUUGCUCGUGGAUCAUCAGUACCUACUGACUUCUUUCGCUGGUUUCUCAUUUUCUCUCAUGUUUCAUGUAGAUUUAUGUGGCACCAAAAAUUGCUAUCCCAUUUAGUCCUGGUAGUUUAUCUAUGGUUAUAAUUUUUAAAUGAAUACCAUCAUUAUUUUUCGGGCUUUUCAUCGCUAUGAGAACCUCGAGGAGAGUAGAGUUUGUGGUUCAACGUUUCUAUGCAUUUUGAUUAGUAUCAUUUUGUGUCUUAUAAGUUUUUUCACUUCUAAAGUGAAUGGACCUAUUUUAGCUUUGGUUAUAUGUUGCUAUUAUGGUUUUUUGGUGUAUCAUCUUCAACAUGGUGGCUUGUUUUUCGGUGUAAAUCAAAAUUAAGCUUUGGUGAUUCAAAUAAAGGGUUUUCAAGAUAUCGAAAAUGGUAGUCGGCUGGUUUUUUUUUUUUUCUUUUUGACAGCUGACAUAAGCAUAUACGGAUGAUCCAAUCUUUUUUAUCGCUGUAUUCUCUCUGGUUGCAUUUAAGUCAUCUUCUUCAGGGGCAUUUGAGUACAGAGGAAGGCAACCUCAUUAAACUUGGUUCUUCUUUAAUCUCAUUUUGUAUCAUUCUUUUUUAGGGAUUUACAAAGCGUCAUGAUGACCAUCUGCGGGUUCACUUUAAACCUUAUUGCGACUUUCUUGUAGUCUUUAUUUUCUUUUCUUUUUUAUCAGCACGUGAAUAUUUGAAUCUUGCUGAUUUACUUGAUAGGUCUGGAAAACUUAUGCUUUGCUCGGACUCUUGCCCUUUAUGGUUUGUUGCCAUAUAUUGUUUUUUAAAUCUCUCCCAACCUUAUGGAAAGUGAAUAAUAGGAGCAUCAAAUCAGUUUGUCCCCCCUUAUCUUUUAACAAUACUGAUUAAUUAUCGUUUUCUGUUUAUGACAUCAUCCGUUUUCGGUCUUCUACCAUCAUAUGUUUUUCUCUCUUUCCGUAGGGGUUUAUUAAGGGAUAAUAAUAUGAUGAUCCACUUCAGGCUUAAGUGUAAUUGAAGAUGAUUGGAUGGUGCUUGCUCAUGGAUCAUCACUGUCCAUCUUUUCAUUCCUUCUCAUAUUUCUAUUCAUCUCUGAUUUCUAUAUUUUUUUUGUGCGUGUAAGCUAGCAUGAUAUGAGAUUUUGCUCUGUGUGGACAGGUUGGUGCAAUGUAGAACAUUGUUGUCUGUUCACUACCUACUGGUUUUUAGAAGGGCGGGUUGUAUAAUCUCACUUCUGCCCCAUUAGUUGAUACUACAAAAGCUUUUAUCUGGAAUGGAAAAAAAGUAAAAUUUAGAAGAUAAAAUAACUAACGGGUUCAUGCAAGGAUGGACGUCUUGGCUAACACAGUAGUGCAGGAACUUGCUGUUCAUGCAUGGAUAGCCAUUUCAGCAGAUGAGGUCCCUCUUUUCUGUCUUUUAUUCUUUGCCUAUAUUAUCUACCUUUUCUGAUAUUAACUUGGGGUGGUUUAUAGAUAGUGAACGAUGAAACCUUGUUUAGUUUUCGCAUGAUACCUCAUGAUAACAAUAUAAAAACAAAAAAAAUACCCGGUUUGCAUCUGAUCAUGUGUUAAUAUAAGAACAAAAAAAUACCCGGUUUUUACCCGACUCUGUGUUAGAAUAUGGAUUUAAAUUUUUUAAGUUACUUCCUGUGCUACAAUAUGGAUUUGAUUUUUUCGAGUUUUUUUUUUGACAUUAAUUCCAGGUUUUUUUGUAGUAUAUUGAUUCUACCUUGCUCAUCUGUUGUGCAUUAAGUUGAUUGCUCUCUGUUAGGCAAUUUUGAAUGAUUUCUCCUUUUGCCUGUUGGAUUGGUUCUUGUGUAAGUAGUAGAUUUUGUAUCAGGCUUCUCUUUUCAUGAGUUUGUCCCUUUUAACACCCUUACUUUCGUGCUUGAGGUUACUGUUGCAAAAGUACAUGCUCUGUGCAAUUUAUAGAUUAGGCAAUGCAAGAUUGGAUCAUGUUUUCUGGCUAGUUGGGAACUCUUGGAAAUUCAUGUCUACUUCAAAAGAUAUUUGGCUAUCGGUUUGUGUUACGAUCUAUCUGUGCUGUGCUCUCUUAGCUUUAUGAUAACUGCCUUGCAGCUUUACUGUGUUAUUGUCUGGCUGUCGGUUUGUGUUAUGUCACUAUGGUUACAGGCCGCUGCUAGGUUUGUGGUUUUGCUUGCAGUUGGAUGAUUGGCACAGCAUUCCCCGACAAGUGAUCUUUCUUCUUAUAUUUGAAGCUUUUUACUUUGGGUUCUUGAUUCAGUUUCAUUUAUAGCCUAAUUUACACACUGAUAUGAUCGUGGGCAGUCAUAAGUUCUAUCCGCUGUUGUAUUAUUAUCGUAUCUUUUAAUGGUAUGUAUGAGUCACUGAGUCAGUGUUAUUAUUUUAGUCUGUUUUGGUGGUAGGUUUUGAAGUAUGAUCAAUGAUUCCAUCUGGUACUAUCUGAUCUGGUUUGAUCUUCUUACCUUAGCUCCUGUUAUAUUACUUGAAGUCUUAUUACUUGACUUCAGAUGCCAUUUGGACAAGUUUGGUUUUUGUUAUGGGUGGAUGGCCAUUUGAGGUUAGUUUGGUGGGUGAAGUUUGGGCCAGGGGACUUUGGGUUGACUAUAAUGAUGUCCUAUUAUUAGCUUAGAUUUUAUUGACUUUUUAAGAGAGAGCAGUCUUGUCUUCUUCUUGAUAAAUGCUAGAAUGCUCAAGGGAAUCACUGAUGCUGUAUAGGGUUCUCCUGAUUCAUCUGGUCACUGGUGACAAUUUUAAGCAAGCGUUUUUUGUUCAUUUGUUUAACUUUACGUGGCAAUACAAUGGUUGUUCAUGAUUCAGUUUACUCUUAGUGGCACUGGAGGCAUUAUAGAUCUGAUGGAGAGCACAAGCUACCUAUUUUCUUAAUUGUCUAUGCAGAAAGAACAAAGUUGAUUGGGCCUAGUUCAGUUUUCAUACGUUUUGCGCGUCGAAAGCUAAAGCAACGUAUGAUUGGAUCUACAUUUUUCUAUUAGUACAAUAUCUUGUUCUAGAACCCUCUUUCUUUGUUUAUCGCUCCAUGAUGACGAACUUCUUGCUAGGUACCUUAAAAGAUAAUGUAAAUUGUUUGUAGGUUUGUUGGGUGUUCGAUCAGGCAUCAUGAUGAGAUUGCGUUCUUUUCUUUGCAUUACCUGUUCUCUUCCUUUUCCAUCAUCAUACAAGUAUUUAAAUUUUGCUUACUUGCUGAGAAGCAUCUAAAACUUGUGUGCAGUUGUGCUUUGUUUGGACCUUUUCUCUCUGGUUUGUUGCCGUAUUUGGUGUGAAUCUUCUUGACAUGGGGCUUGCUUAUGGAAAGUGAAAAAUAAGAGCAUCAAAUCAGUUUGUGUUGUUUUUUUUAUCAUAAUAGUUUUACGAAUUAUUUUCUUUUUCGUAUCAUUAGUUUUUUGUGGGAUGUAUAUUUUUGACAACCAGAGGUUGAAGAUGACUAGAUUGCUGUGCUUGUCUGAGGAUCAUCAGCACCUCUCUUCAUCAAUUUCUUCUCAUCGUUUUGUUCUUUCUUUUAAUUCCCAAUUUCUGUUUAUGCUUGCAUGACAAGAUUAUGUUUUGUGUUGUAGGUUAGUGUGGUGCCGAACAUUAUUGUCCAAUCACCACCUAUAGGUUCUUCUGUGGUUUCUGUUGGGGCUUGCUUAUGGAAAGUGAAAAAUAAGAGCAUUAUAUCAGUUCGUGCUUUUCAUUUUUUCUAAUUGUGGAGCUCUGCUAUUAUUUUCUAUUUAAAUCAUCAUUGGUCUUUUAUCUUUCAUCAUCAUAUGUUAUUUUAUGGUAUGCCUAAAAGGGUAAUUUUAUUGACCACCAUUGGUUGAAGAUGAUUGGAUCAUUGUGCUUGCUUGAGGAUCAUCAGCAGCCCUCUGUUUAUUCCUUCCCACUGUUCUCUUCUUUCUCAGAGUCUUCGGUUUCUUUUGUGUUCACGCUGAGAUUAUGUUCUGUAUGUAGGUUAGCAUGGCGUCGAUCAUCGCUGUCUAAUCACCACCUACUGGUUUUUCUGUAGUUCUUGAGAUUUUCCUUAUGUUACCAUUAUUAUUGUUUUUCUAUCUUCCCAUCAUCAUAAGGAACUUGUAGGAAAUGUUACCUUGUAUGUGUUUUGCAGAAAGAGCAACAAAUGGUUAGACCUAUUAUUCUUCGUUCCAUACCUACUUCUUUCUAGGUUUCCCGAAACAAGAGAACUUUUUGUGCCGUCCCGUCAUCACAAGGAACUUGUUACUUGUGGAUCAUAACACCUAUCUAUGCUUUACUUCCCACUAUUCUCUAAUUUCUCUUUUUCUUGUGUGCGCCUGCAUGACAAGAUUAUGUUUUGUGUGUAGGUUAGUGAGGUGCUAAACAUUGUUGUCCAAUAACCAACUCCGGGUUCUUCUCUAAUUCCUAAUAGUAACUUUUUGGUUACCAGUAUUAUUUUUGUCCUAUCAUUAUGAGGAACUUGCAGAAGGAAUUUUAUGGUACUGUGUAUAUGUUCUGCAGAACGAGAAUCAGGGAAAGCCUUAUUUUGAUCAGUUUCAUCUCGUUAGUUACUGUCCUUUUAUCUGCCUUUGGAGGCGUUUAAUUCAUUUGUUAUGUUUCCGGGUCUAUAACUGCAGUUCUCUAUGGGCUUGUCAACAUUUAUUGUGCCUGGAUGAUCAUUUCAGGUUAGUUUAACAGGUGAAGUUUGUGCCUGUGUCCUUUCAGAUGAUUAUAUGAUAUCUUUUUUCUUUUGGGUAAAACGAGUUUUUGGUGUUGACACAGGAAAAGGUCAUCUUGUUUUCUUUGUCGAUAUUAAUAGAAUGCUCAAGUUCUUUAUGAUUGUUGUGAUGCUGUGUGUGGGUUCUUCUAAUUCAUUUAGUGGCGUUUCAAUCACUGCUUUAUGUUCUUUUCAUUUACUCUUAGGUGGCCAAUGUGGAUUAACGAUGCACUACUUUAUGUUAUUUCAAUCACUACUUUAUUCAUGAUUCAGUUAACCAAUGUGGUAAUUGGAGGCAAUGUACAUUUGAUGUAUUACACAAUCUACUUUUGCUUAAUUUUGUGGUUUUUUUUUGUUUUGGUAAUGGAUUUGUCCUUUCAGUAGUGACAUGCACCUUUGUUGAUUUGAGUUUUAAGUGUCCACUCAGCAAUUGGCCUGAUAGUCUGAUACAAGUGGGUUAUUAUCUUUACUUCUGGUAAGUUUAAAUGACCUUUCCUAUUUUCUUCUCAUUUGACAAUUAAACUCUCGUUGUGAUUUACAUGUGAUUAUCAAUCGUUCUUGUAUAAUGAUCGGUUAAUCUCAUGAUUCAUGUUCCACCUUUUUCCUAAUUGUGGUGCUGUUUUUUUUUUCUGAUCUACUUAUGAUUACAAAAUGUUUCUUGCCACCAUUGUAGUAAAAAUUUGUGUUUCUUGUGUUGCUUUGGUUCCAUUUAACUUUCAACUGCACAAUGGCUACAUCACUUGUCACUGCUAAUUUCUGCAUUAUUCACAUUUUAUCAUGCUUUAAUGAUCAUUUAAGGUUAGUUUAAUUAAUGGGUGAAGUUUGUGCCUGUGUCCGUUCAAGCUGAUUAUAUAGGAUCUCUUUUUUUGUAGAUACUACCGAGUUUUUGUGCCAAGGGUCAUUUUGUUUUCUUUGUUGAUAGACAGAAUGCUCAAGUUCUUUAUGAUUGUCGUGAUGCUGCGUGGGGUUCUCCUAAUUCAUUUAGUGACAUGUUAAUAACUACUUUAUGUUCUUUUCAGUUAACCUUUGUGGUAUUGGAGGCAUUAUACGUUUGAUGUAGUCCACAAUCACUUUUGCUUGGUAUUUUCGAGUUUUUUGUUUUGGUAAUGGAUUUGUCCUCUGUUGAUUGAGUUUUAAGUGUCCACUCAGCAAUUGUUUAAUGACCUUUCCUGUUUUCAUAUCAUUUGAUGAUUAAAUUUUCUCGUUAUGAUUAGUGUCCACUCAGCAAUUGUUACCUUGAUUUCAUGGUUCAGCAUGUUCAUAUUAUCAUUGUAUGUAUGGUAGUGUCUAUUAGAUAUGGUGUUUUCAUAUUUUAUGUGGGCAGCUUCUUUACUUUCUUUCUUGCAGAUUGUUAAAAACUUGCAUGAGUGGGCUGUUUUUGUUCUUCCGUCUUAGUAAAAAAUAUAUGUUGAUGUUUAAUCACUAUCUUAUCUCUGUCUUCAGAUUGUAUUUCUUUCUGUGCUUAAAAGCUGGGUGCCUGAAUAGGAUAACUGAUAGAUGGCGCCAUUGGUUCUACAUUUAGAUUUUUGCAGAAUGAAAAGUAAAUGACUGGACCUUUGUUUUGAUUGAUAUCGUUCCAUGGGCCAUGGUGUGUUAUUUCAUUUGCUUUUAGAUGCUAAAGUGGCCAGCUUUGUUUUAGGUUCCUGAAGAGCAUGGUGUUUUCUUUGUAGGUUAGUUGGCUACUAAACACUACAGUUCUGGCGUCUAGAUGACCAUCUGCUCUGGUCUUUUACCUCCUUUUUAGCAUUAUUUGUUUCUGGCCUUCGCGUCCUGAUUAAAAUUUCUUUAAUUUUGCUCUCUUGAUCAUAGGUUUAUGAAAGCUUGUAUUUUGAUUGGACCAUUGAGUAUUGAAUUGCCUGAAACACUCUUUUGCUCAUAGUUCCUUGAGUUGCCUGCAUUUGAGAUUGAAGACAAUAAAUGUGAGAGGAGUUCUAAUGAUUAAAUCAGUAAUUUUUUAGUGUAUUUUGAUACAUUUUCUUUUAUGGUUCCGUUACAUAUCUGCCUAGACAUGUUGAGCACAAGCAAAAUUAAUGCUUCAUUUUAAAUAUUGUAAAUUUGUAAGUAGUAAUCUGGAAAUGGUUGAAGAAUCAUAAAGGUGUCGAGGGUGUAUUGUUUUGCUUUAGAUUCACUUGUACUCAAAUAAUUUUGCCUUACAACAGUUCCCUUGUAGUUGCGUGGGGCUUAUUUUCGUUCCGGUUGCUGUAUGUUACUGAUUCUGCAACUUGUGUUCUUCAGUAGCUCUUGCCUGUUAUUUCAAGAAUUAUUGGUUUUCUGUCUUCUGCAAUCUGCUAGCCGCAGGUCUUCAGUCAUGUGCUUUGGUUGGAAAUAUUUUUUUGUGUGCUGAUGCCAUUGGUGUUGGGGUUUGUUAGCAAGUUCUUUUUAAAAAAAUACUUUGAUUGAUCAAAAUUACUGACUUGUGCAGAAGUGUUUUUUUUUUUUUUUUUUUUUUCUUUUGGCAAAAUUGUUUUCAACAUAUUUUAAUUUUUCUGGUAGGUUUAUGAAAGCACGGAGUUAAUGUUGUUACGAUGUACGUAUUUUGCAGCAAGAGCAACUGAUGAAUGGACCUAUGUGUUUCGUUUAGUAUCAUUUCGUGACCUAAAUCGUUUUUCAUUCCAUAAUGACGGACUUUCUUUCUAGGAAUCUUAAACAAGAAUUUUGUUUGUAGGCUAGUUGGGUGACAAGGCAUCAUGGUUGACCAUCUGCGGGAGUUCUUUGAAUCUAUUCAAUUUUUUUGCAUUGUUUAUUCACUUCUUUAUAUCAACAUGCAAGCCAGAAAGUCUUGCUUAUUUUUGCUGAUGCCUUAUAGGAUUAUAUUAUUGACCUGCCACAGCUCUGCAUAGUUGAAGAUGACUGGAUUGCUGUGUUUGCUUGUGGAUCAUCAGCACCUACUGUCUUCUUUGCUGGUUUCUCGUUUUCUCUCGUGUUUCAUGUAGAUUUGUGUGGCACCAAAAAUUGCUAUCCAUUUAGUCCUGGUAGUUUGUCUAUGGUUACAAUUUUAGAUGAAUACCAUCAUUAUUUUUCUGUCUUUUCAUCACCAUGAGAACCUUGCAGGAGAGUAGAGUUUGUGGUUCAAUGUUUUUGUUUUGCAGAAAAAAACAACAUAUGAUCGGACCUAUGCAUUUUGAUCAGUACCAUUUUGUGUCUUGAAAGUUCUUUCACUUCUAAAGCGAAUGGACCCUUUUUUAGCUUUGGUUACAUGUUGCUAUUAUGGUUUUUCGGUGAAUCCAUCUUCAACAUGGUGGCUUGUUUUUCGGUGUAAAUCAAAAUUAAGCUUUUGUGAUUCAAAUAAAGGGUUUUCAAGAUAUCGAAAAUGGUAAUCGGAUGUUCUUUUUUCUUUUUGACAGCUGACAUAAGCAUAUACGGAUAAUCCAAUCUUUUUUAUCGCUGUAUUCUCUCUGGUUGCAUUUAAGUCAUCUUCUUAAGAGGCAUUUGAGUACAGAGGAAGGCAACCUCAUUAAACUUGGUUCUGUUUUAAUCUCAUUUUGUAUCAUUCUUUUUUAGGGAUUUACAAAGCGUCAUGAUGUUCAUCUGCGGGUUCGCUUUAAACCUUAUUGCGACUUUCCUGCAGUCUUUAUUUUCUUUUCUUUUUUUAUCAGCACGCGAAUAUUUGAAUCUUGCUGAUUUACUUUAUAGGUCUGGAAAACUAAUGCUUUGCUUGGACUCUUUGCCCUCUCUGGUUCGUUGCCAUAUAUUGUUUUUUAAAUCUCUCUCAACCUUGGUCUUGCUUAUGGAAAGUGAAUAACAGGAGCAUCCAUUCAGUUUGUCCCCCUUAUUUCUUAAGAAUACUGAUUAAUUAUCGUUUUCUGUUUAUAUGACAUCAUUCGUUUUCUGUCUUCUACCAUCCACUUCAGGCUUAAGUGUAAUGAAGAUGAUUGGAUAGUGCUUGCUCAUGGAUUAUCAUCGUCCAUCUUUUUCUAUUUCUCAUUAUUCUAUUCAUUAUCUGAUUUCUAUAUUUUUUUGUGCAUGUAAGCUAGCAUUAUAUGAGAUUUUGCUUUGCAUGUAGGUUGGUGUGAUGUAGAACAUCGUUGUCUGUUCACUAUCUACUGGUUUAGAAGGGCGGGUUUUAUAAUCUCACUUCUGCCCCAUUAGUUGACACUACAAAAGCUUUUAUCUGGAAUGGAAAAAAGUAAAAUUUAGAAGAUAAAAUAAUUAACUGGUUCAUGUAAGGAUGGACGUCUUGGUUAACGCAAUAGUGCAGGCAGCAGGAACUUGCUGUUCGUGCAUGGAUAGCCAUGUCAGCAGAUGAGGUCCCUCUUUUCUGUCUUUUAUUCUUUGCCUAUAUUAUCUACAUUUUCUGAUAUUAACUUGGGGUGGUUUAUUGAUAGUGAAUGAUGAAACCUUGUUUAGUUUUCACAUGAUACCUCAUGAUAACAAUAUAAAAAAAAAAAUACCCGGUUUGCAUCUGAUCCUGUGUUAAUAUAAGAACAAAAACAAGACCCGGUUUGUAUCCGACCCUGUGUUGAAUAUGGAUUUAAAUUUUUUAAGUUACUUCCUGUGUUGCAAUAUGCACAAAAUGUUAUCUUAGAAUCCGAGUUAGGGUAUGAACCAACUAGCAGUAUUUUUUUAUUCAACUUCACCUAAUAGAUGUUUAAUUUUGGAUUUUAUGUUUUUACGUAAUUGUUCUCAAGUUCUUUUUUUUUUUUGUAAAUAGGGUUAUCUAGGAUUUUUAUAUCUCGGUUUAACAACGCAUUUGAGAUUGAUAUAGGUUUAUGACACUUUUGCUUACUUGAUAAAAAGAGGUUAUUGUGUUCACAACUUGGAGCAUGUUUGUCUGCUGCAUAUGCUUUGAUUGUUUUUUUUAUAUAUAUAUUUAUACAAGUUUUAACUCUGCCUGGGUUUCAAGUUAAACUCGGCCGGUCCCAAGCCCGGGUAAAACGAGGAGGGUUGAAGUUUGCUAAAAACUUGUAUUCAUACCUUUUAAGUUUUGGUGUAUGUUUUCCAUUGUAAUCUGUGUGUUUUUCUGUUGUCACAUUUUGAAAAUUUGAUCAAAAGCCAAGUUUUAGAUUCCA